GCUUACGUCCAUACCACCCUGUCUGUGCCCGAUCUAGUCUGAUAUCGGAAGCUAAGCAGGGUCGAGCCUGCUUAGUAUUUGGAUGGGAGACCUCCUGGGAAUAGCAGGUGCUUUAGCG
rnacentral:rRNA from 1 species